GUUCGCUUUGUUUUGUCCGAAGA
rnacentral:siRNA from 1 species